CCCUUAGAUGUCCUGGGCCGCACGCGCGCUACACUGAUGCAUUCAACGAGCUUUACCUUGGCCGAGAGGCCUGGGCAAUCUUUUAAACCUGCAUCGUGAUAGGGAUAGAUUAUUGCAAUUAUUAAUCUUGAACGAGGAAUUCCUAGUAAUCGCAGUUCAUCAAACUGCAAUGAUUACGUCCCUGCCCUUUGUACACACCGCCCGUCGCACCUACCGAUUGAAUGGUCCGGUGAGGACUCGGGAUUGUGGUUUAGCUCCUUCAUUGGGGCCUGACUGCGAGAACUUGUCCGAACCUUAUCAUUUAGAGGAAGGUGAAGUCGUAACA
rnacentral:rRNA from 1 species